UUUUCAUAUUUUCAUCAUUAUGGUGCAUGUUGAGAUUAUCCUAUUAAAAUGUAAGCAUGUCUUGUAUUUUAUUUAUAUUAAGAGGUAAGGUAUCAUAUCCCUCUCCAUCAUGCACACUUUUACAUGAUUUAAAGAAAACUAGUUUUUUUAAGCACCCUAUUUAUCUAGAACAGUCACUACAAAAUUAUGAGACCAUCAAUUACAAACUCAGCAAACUCAUAUUAGGUUGUUUUAAUUGUGUGGAGAGACUUUACACUAGCUACUGCCGUCAAAAUAAGGUUAACAACAAAUGUAAUGUUUGUUAAUUUAAUUUCAGCACCUAGGAAGAAAGUAGAGCUUUUAACGAGUAG
rnacentral:lncRNA from 1 species